rnacentral:misc_RNA from 1 species
GGAAUGAGGUUCAAGGUGGAACCAAUAUUGGUGUGGCAGAUAUAUUGAGAAAUGACAGGCUUGGAUAUAACAAAUAUUAUGCUGGGUAUGAAGACUCAAAGUUUCGCAUGCCCAGCUCAAGUGAUCUAUAUAACAGGACUUUUGGGAUGUGAUAUUUGGUGAAUGAAAUGAUGUGAGCACCUAGAAUGGUGGCAGCAUUUGAGCAAAAGACUAGGAUUUACCUUGUGAGGUCUGUGGACGUGUAGCCGUGAUGUCGUGAGAGAUUCAUAAUCCGGCCUUGAUUGGCAGCCUGAUGAAGAUUUGUGCCCUGAUGGAAUUGGAUCAUGUUACCACCAGGUGUGAUAUAAGCUCACGUGAUUGUUCCACAGAAAGUUGUAUAUUGGCAACGAUUAUUUGACAGGAAGUUGUAAAUGUCUGUCAAUCUGGUAGGGCGACCCUCCCUCCAGCUGUUGAAUAUUUUGUUCCUUGCUAACAGCGAAGAGUAAAAGAAUCUACUUUUUUGGCUCUCGAAACCUUAAAGUUGAGAUUGGAGUUCCUGACUUCACAAAGGUUAUAUGUGAAUCAAUUUGAAUGUACUUUGAUAUUUUUUUACAACUCAACUAUUUUACUUAGUUCCUUAGAUAAUAGAUAUAUAGUUCAAAGAUCCAGAGUUUCCUGCCGUUUGGGAUCAGAUAGAUUGAUGGAGUUUCCUGGCCUCACGACCUAAUAGCCCAUUCUUCCUUCGAGUAUUAUAAUUACAAGGAGGUUGAGAUUUGGUUCGUUGCAGUUGCGUAAUUCUUGCCACGUUGCCGUGGCUGCGUAAAACUUGAUGGUGACUUCACUCUGGG